rnacentral:rRNA from 1 species
AUUGAACGCUGGCGGCAGGCCUAACACAUGCAAGUCGAACGAGUGGCGGACGGGCGAGUAAUGCCUGGGAAACUGGCCGAUGGAGGGGGAUAACUACUGGAAACGGUAGCUAAUACCGCAUACCAUCGGAUGAGCCCAGAUGGGAUUAGCUAGUUGGUGGGGUAAUGGCUCACCUAGCCGACGAUCCCUAGCUGGUCUGAGAGGAUGACCAGCCAAACUGGAACUGAGACACGGUCCAGACUCCUACGGGAGGCAGCAGUGGGGAAUAUUGCGCAAUGGGGGCAAGCCUGAUGCAGCCAUGCCGCGUGUAUGAAGAAGGCCUUCGGGUUGUAAAGUACUUUCAGCAGGGAGGCGUUACCAGCAGAAGAAGCACCGGCUAACUCCGUGCCAGCCGCCGCGGUAAUAC